rnacentral:rRNA from 1 species
UAGGGAAUCUUCCGCAAUGGACGCAAGUCUGACGGAGCAACGCCGCGUGAGUGAAGAAGGAUUUCGGUUCGUAAAACUCUGUUGUUAGAGAAGAACAGCGCUUAGAGUAACUGUUAUGCGUGUGACGGUAUCUAACCAGAAAGCCACGGCUAACUACGUGCCAGCAGCCGCGGUAAUACGUAGGUGGCAAGCGUUGUCCGGAUUUAUUGGGCGUAAAGCGAGCGCAGGCGGUCAAUUAAGUCUGAUGUGAAAGCCCCCGGCUCAACCGGGGAGGGUCAUUGGAAACUGGUUGACUUGAGUGCAGAAGAGGAGAGUGGAAUUCCAUGUGUAGCGGUGAAAUGCGUAGAUAUAUGGAGGAACACCAGUGGCGAAGGCGACUCUCUGGUCUGUAACUGACGCUGAGGUUCGAAAGCGUGGGUAGCAAACAGG